rnacentral:lncRNA from 1 species
UAAUUUUUGGUUUUUUAUAUUAGCACCCCACAAAAUGUUGAAUGCAUCACACAUUAAAAUUUAAUAUUAAAUAACUUAUUUAUUCUACUAUGCAAUGACAAUUUUGACCUUAUUAGGUUAAAAAAAAAAAUAAUUCUAUAUACACCCCCAAUCACUUUUAACGUAUUAUUUAUCUUCUUCAACUAUCAAAAACCCUUCGACUCUCUAUUGUUGAACAAAAACCUAACCAAUGAAACUACAAACAUGUUGAUUGAGAAAAUUAUUUUUGAUUAAUGAAACACGAAAUCGAUGUUUCUGAAGCUUCACAUGUUGUAGACUUCGCAUUAUUUAUUGUUUUAGUGAUUUUGACAACAUCAAUAAUUAUUUAAUCUUGCUUUUGAUGUGUUAUUUAAGCUUCUAUGUUCGUAUUCAUCUUUUAGGGAUCACAGGGAUUACAUGAAGAAUUAAACAUCUAAAAUUACCACCAAAUAUUAAAAACAGACGACAUGAGUUUUAAUGGUGGAAUUAAAAACAACCCACAUAUGCUUUAAAUCCCAGGCGGCAUCUUUUGUCAAACUUUUAAUCAACAUUAUUUGUCCAAAUUAAAAGGUUUGUAAGAUUUAAGAAAUGUGGGGUGUAUAGAAAAUAUGGGAUGCAUAUAGAAAAUGUUAGGUGUAUAUUAAGAAUGUGGGGUGUGAGGAUAUUAUGGGAAAGUAUGUGGGGUGUAUUAAGAUAAUUUUUAAAUAAAAAAGCAAAUGUGGGGUGUAUUAAGUAUGUGAGGUUUAUUUAAUAAUUUGUAGGAUGUUAAUAUAAUAAGCCUAAUUUUUUAAUAAACAUAGACUAUGCCAAGUUCCUCUUCCGCUGCUUGAUGAUCUCUCUACUCACUAUUCAAUCAAGGGAGUUGACUUCUAUUUAUGGAAAAUAUACAAAAUAAUAGAAUAUGAUUUGAUCAACAGCGUAGAUGGUGCUUAUAAUCAUGUCUAUGCACAUUAGUGCGACUUAGAAGAAAUGCAAGGAGGAAUUUAUAAAGACAAAGGUUACUUGCUGUUCGCUGCAAAAAAGGGCAUUCAAAGGACAAUUUUCCCAAGUUUUUCACCGCCGUUUUUACCAUUCGCUACAAAAAAACAAAUACUCCCCCCCCCUGCGAGCUCCUUGUGUUUGGUUGUAUCUAACGAUCCCUAAUACCAAAUUUAAGGUUUAGAUAUAUAAAAAAGAUAUCUCAGGUACUUCAUUGCUAUCCAUUAUGCUCCCCAGUUUCAAGCAGAGCAAAAAAUUGUAAUUGAGUUGAUUUUUGAACAUGCAGAGCAGUUAGACAUCUGAAUUACCAAUCUUUAUUAUUAUUGCAAUAAACACACAGAUUACACUAAAAGCUAGUGAAUCAUAAACUUGCAGAUGACUUAUCCAAACACAAAGAUAAGACAUGAGUUUAUUAUUGUUGCUAUAAACACAGGGAUUAUAGCGAAAUUCAAAAACUAAAAACAAGGAAAAAAGUAGUGAUGAAAACAAAUGCCACUUUUGUGGGGAACACGAUUGCAUUCGCACAUGCAACAAGCCUUUUAAACCCAUAGGUGACCCAAAUAGGACGAGUGAAGUCUCGUGAGGGUUUCCAGAGACGUUACCCACAAACAUCAUGCAUACUGAUCAUCAACAUCUGCCUUGGGAGACUGAGUAGAUAUCCACCCCUCCAGCAUCAGGUGUUUUUUGGUUGAGGCGCAAUUCGAAUCUGUUUUCAAUGAACGGCCUGGUUAAGAGGUCGCUUUGCAAGUGACGUAAUCGGCAGCGCGUGAUUAGGUUGUUGCUGUCAGGUGGUCCGACAGGCUCGACCUUGAACAAUGUGCAAGCCCAAUUGUCUUUGGUUUCAUUUCGGUCAGCAGCUGCGGCCAGGACCAAUAGCCUGUUUUGGUCCACCCUUCUCAAGUAGUUGCCGUUGUAGGAGCAUUUGAUAUGCACGUAAUUCUUGUCGGCGUAGUCCUCAUUGUUUGGCUUCUCAGUGGUGAACUUUACGAACCUGCUGUUUUCAUUGUCCUCGGAAAAUUGGACAAUCUCAUUAAGGUCGCUUUCUGCAUCAAGUUGAUAACGCAAAUACUUGUUGUUGGUAUCUGCUUUCAGCAGAAAGGGGCUUGGUAGUACAGGUGGAGCCAUGUUGUAUAGUGUAGUUGGGAUUGGGAUGAACUCUCUUUUUUUCUUCUCUCUUGAUGGUUUAAUUUGCUUGCUGUGAGUGUGUUGCUCUGUUCAAACCUGCUAUCCUAUUUAUAAGAAAUUAAGCACAAGCUAGCUCAAGUUAUGGUCUUUAAUUAAUAUUAUUUUCGACAAAUCAGUUUCCCAUGUCUUUCAUUGAUAUGAACAUGGCUGAUCUCAUUGGUGUGACGCAAGAUUUGUUAAAAUAGCUGAUCGGAUUGAUUUCUUUGUAUAACUCUUCUGCCAAUUCUGCAACUUGUAGAUGCAAUUCCCAUUACAAAAUAAAAAAUAAAAAAUAAAAUCCUAAACUCAUAUAAGAUAAAUAAAGACUUUAUUUACGGGAUCGAAUGCACAUUGAUGGGUGCGCAUUUUCCUUCGUCAUCUUUUCUGUGCUAUUAACUUGUGCGAUUGUCGACUUUCAUAAAUUACAACGGCUACAGGUAAAAUGUCACCCUAGUUUUGAUAAAUAGUGAAGGCAUAUGGCAAAGUCUGUGCGGUCGUUUUUCAUGAAGCAAAUUCUUGUAGGUCUAAUGAUGGGGCAUAUGACAAAAACUUCUUUCUUGUUUAAAACUGAGCAUAAAUUUUAAAUUUUGUUAUAACAUUUCACAACUAUUAAAGGUUAACUCAAUGGCCGUAAGCACCAAAGAGAAAAAUGGUUAAGUGAAUGUUAUUAGAAUUAUAUAAAACUGCUUGCAUAGUAUUUUACGAAUAAGAAAUUUUAUAGAAUAUAGAAUAAGUAUUUCUUUUUAAAAAAAAAAAAUUGGGAUGGUAUAUUACACUAAAAUAUUUGUUGUAGAAUUUAGAUAUGAUCAUAGAAAAAGACUUUGCAAAAUGUCAAAAAAUUUAUACCACGUAGAAUGACUAUAAUUGCCAGAUAGUUAAAAGUUUUGCAACAUGUAAUCGACAUGGUUUCAUAGGACCUACAUCUAGUUGACUUGGUUGUUAAAAUUAAUGUAAGACUUUUAGUUGAUAUUUCUUGAGGGUGAAACACCUUUUGAGAAACGUUUUGGGCCUCAUUACAAUUUUUUCACUUAUCUUUUAUGUUUCAACUUAAAUAUUCUACUAUAAAUACAUUUGGGGCUUAACAACUGGUAAAACCAUUUCCAGAUGUAUUUUAAAGAUUUUCUUAAUGUCACGGAAAAUAUUUUACGAAAAUGAAAGAUUUGAAUUUCCACAAAAAAACGUUGGUUAACUCACGGUUUUUUGUCGGUUUUGUAAAUUUGUAUAAAUAUCUUCGUUAAAUCUAUUUGUUUUCACAUUAACCUCACUGUGAGGUACUUAAAAUUAAUGUAACUUUCCGUCGAUAUUCUUGAGUAUUGACCCUUGUUAAGGCAAAGAUUUGGGCCUCACUACAUUUUUUUUCAUUUAUGUCUUAGGUUUCGGCUUUCACAAAGCACAAGGCUGUAGACCUGAAGUUUUGAUUAAAAAUAUUUGUAACAUGACAGCAUAUGGCUAUAGGCGUGGAGUCUUUGCUAACAAUUAAAAGUUUUGUAAUAAAAUAUUUGACUUGGUUUAUAAGACCUACAUCUAGAUGAUUUGGUUUUUAAAACAAAUAUAAGACUUUUUGUUGAUAUUUCUUGAGGAUGAAACACCAGUUGAGAAACGUCUUGCAUCUCAUUACAAUUUUUUUUUUCAUUUAUUUUUUAGGUUUCAACUUAAAUAUUAUACUAUAAAUACAUAUGUGGCUCAAUAAUUGGUAAAACCAUUUCCAAAUCUCUUGUAAACAUUUUCUUAACGUCAUGGAAAAUAUUUUACAAAAAUAAAACAUUUGUAUUUUUCACAAAAGACAAAGGUUAACAAUCACGGUUUUUAUAUCGGUUAUACAAAUUCAUUCGAAAAUCAUCAUUAAGUCUAUUUGUUUUCACAUUCGCCUUAUCGUGAGGUACUUAAAAAUAAUGUAUAGCUUUCCGUCACUAUUCUUGAGUAUAGAGCGUAGUUAAGGCAAAUAUUUGGGGCCCACUACCAUUUUUUUUCAUUUAAUUUUAAGUUUCGGCUUAGAUAUACCAUUUAAACUAAAUCUUGGAUCAAUAAUUGGAAACAAAUACUCUCCCCAUGCGAGCUCCUUCGUCAAUUCCCCUGGCGAACUCUGAGUGCCUCUAAAGAAAUGAUUAACUGAAAUUAGAAUUUUUGAAACCUUGUGUUUGGUUGUAUCUAACGAUCCCUAAUACCAAAUUUAAGGUUUGGAUAUAUAAAAAAGAUAUCUCGGGUAAUUCAUUGCUAGCCAUUAUGCUCCCCAGUUUCAAGCAAAGCAAAAAAUUCUAAUUGAGUUGAUUUUUUAACAUACAGAGUAGUUAGACAUCUGAAUUACCAAUCUUUAUUAUUAUUGCAAUAAACACACAGAUUACACUAAAAGCUAGUGAAUCAUAAACUUGUAGAUGACUUAUCCAAACACAAAGAUAAGACAUGAGUUUAUUAUUGUUGCUAUAAACACCCGGAUUACAGCGAAAUUCAAAAACUAAAAACAAGGAAAAAAGUAGUGAUGAAAACCAAUGCCACUUUCGUGGGGAACACGAUUGCAUUCGCACAUGCAACAAGCCUUUUAAACCUAUAGGUGACCCAAAUGGGAAGAGUGAAGUCUCUCGUGAGGGUUUCCAGAGACGUUACCCACAAACAUCAUGCAUACCGAUCAUCAACAUCUGACUUGGGAGACUGAGUAGAUAUCCACCCCUCCGGCAUCAGGUGUUUUUUGGUUGAGGCGCAAUUCGAAUCUGCUUUCAAUGAAUGGUCUGGUUAAGAGGUUGCUUUGCAAGUGACGUAAUCGGCAGCGCGUGAUUAGGUUGUUGCUGUCAGGUGGUCCGACAGGCUCGACCUUGAACAAUGUGCAAGCCCAAUUGUCUUUGGUUUCGUUUCGGUCAGCAGCAGCGGCCAGGACCAAUAGCCUGUUUUGGUCCACCCUUCUCAAGUAGUUGCCGUUGUAGGAGCAUUUGAUAUGCACGUAAUUCUUGUCGGCGUAGUCCUCAUUGUUUGGCUUCUCGGUAGUGAACUUUAUGAACCUGCUGUUUUCAUUGUCCUCGGAAAAUUGGACAAUCUCAUUAAGGUCGCUUUCUGCAUCAAGUUGAUAGCGCAAAUACUUGUUGUUGGUAUCUGCUUUCAGCAGAAAGGGGCUUGGUAGUACAGGUGGAGCCAUGUUGUAUAGUGUAGUUGGGAUUGGGAUGAUCUCUCUUUUUUUCUUCUCUCUUGAUGGUUUAAUUUGCUUGCUGUGAGUGUGUUGCUCUGUUCAAACCUGCUAUCCUAUUUAUAAGAAAUUAAGCACAUGCUGGCUCAAGUUAUGGUCUUUAAUUAAUAUUAAUUUCCUCAAUCAGUUUCCCAUCUCUUUCAUUGAUAUGAACAUGGAUGAUCUCAUUGGUGUGACGCAAGAUUUGUUAAAAUAGCUGAUCGGAUUGAUUUGUUUGUAUAACUCUUCUGCCAAUUCUGAAACUUGUACAUAUAAUUCCCAUUAUAAAAUAAAUAAACAAAACCCAAAACUCAUAUAAAAUAAAUAGUGUUGUGAAAUCGACUGUGGGUGCAGUGGAAUAAAUGAAACAAGACCCAAAAUUUACGAGGUUCCUCUACAGUCAGUGUGACUGGAGUACGUCCUCGGGGCAGCAGUGGUGCUUUCAUUAUAAUUUGAAAUAAUAGGAGUACAAAGAUAACUCUCUUUAUAUCUCCCCCUCAUCUUCCUCUUCUUCCUCUCUUCCUCUUCUUUCCUCUCUCUCUCUCUCUUCCUUUCUUCCUUUUCCUUCUUUUCUCAAGUGAACCCUUAAUCACUUCAUCUCCUCUUCUUCCUUUAUAUAAACAAAAGAAAGCACUAUUCACUUUACAAAUUUUCCACAAAUGAAUAGUGAAAAUACUGUGCAUAAAUAGUAACAAACUAUUCAUGUGGACCAUCCACAUAAUAUUUACAACACUCCCCCUUGGAUGGCCACAAGUCUUCGAUUGACUCGUUAAAAUCUUGAUCUGUCUUGGAUGCUCCCCCUGAUGAGUAUCUCCCCCUGAUUUCAAAUCAUUUAGGUUGAUCGUUGAUCGUUCUGCUUUAGUCUCUUAGUAAGAAGAGUUGCUGAAAGAGUUGCUUUACUUGUUGUUAACUUUCCACAUGCUUUUUCUUGAACUGGGUUGUAGGACUUUCUGCUAGACUAGCAUCGAAGAUCUGAAUUUACUCCUUUUAUCUGGAGCGGAAUUUGAUUCAAAAGUGGUGGACACUUGAUCUUGAAUCGGACUUAUGAUUUUUUUCAAAGACUUCGAGGCUUGAUCUUGAAUGAAAUUGUACCGUUAAGAGCUUCAUGUGGCAAGUGAUCUUCGGUUUUGUCGGGGAUGAAUCAGCACGUGUUUGUUGCGCUUGUCUCCACAUGCUUCAAUGUAUCAUUUUCACUUGUCUUACUUGCUCCCCUUGCUUAAGUGGUAUUUUCCCUGGUUUUCCCCUACAUGUGUGGCAUCUUUUCUUGUAGGAUUUGUCCCCUGAUGCAGGAGAGGAAUGCAAACCCUUGCAUUUGAAUGGUUCAUCACUUCUUGGUGACUGGAGACCCAGCUCCAACCGUUGAAGAUGACUACUCGAGAGCAAUACUAGGUAAGUAAUCAGGAAAGGUUCCAGGCAGUCGGUUCCUUACCGGGAGUUUGAGUGGAGGUUCCGACAUAUUGCUUUCUUUAUCCUUAUCUUUGCAGGCAAGAACAAGGACAAAGGAAAGGACAGGGAGAUUGCAUGAUAUGAGAUAAUCUUGCUCUGGUCCCUGAAGAUAUGUGAUAAUCUUGCUCUGGUGUGACAUGUUUGAAGAGGUAUUCUCGGAGAGGAAGAAAACUGAGUAUUCCGAGAUGCUAUGUUGAAGAUGCAUUCUCGGAGAUGAGGAAGAGUUAGGUAUUCUUGCAGUGUUGCGGGUCUGCCUUGUUAUGGAGAACAUAUGUUGACAUAUAUAGAGAUUUCUCAAUAGCAAAUGGUGGUGCUGUGCUUUUACUCUUGUCAGCAACUGUGGUGUAAAUAGAACAGUAAGAUUUACGCGUUUUCAACUUUGUCAGAGAUCUUUGACAAAGUUGCACGCGAUAUCUGAAAAGCUGAGAUUACGUCUGAAAAAUGCCAACGAAUUUUAUUCAGGAAAAUCUGGCUUUUGAAAUUCGAAGAGCGGUGCCUCAUCGAUCUUUGAACAAGUGGCUAUGCGGCCUCUUCUUUUAUAGAGACAUCAAUUGUGUUCAAGAGUAUGCUCAGAAAGUUGCUGCUUGUAGAAAUUUCCCCUAUCUUGCACCUUUGAAAUUUUAUUUGACCUCUGUUUUUCCUUUAUUAUUUCUGAAAAAUGACUUGCCCAUCUAACAUUUGCUUAGAUUUGAGUCUUAGGAGUGAUAUAGACGAGCAGCGUCAGGAUAAUAUAUGGCGCCCGUCCUUCUUAUCUUCUAAUGGUCCUCUUACGGUUGAGGAUUCUGUGAUGAAGAAUAACAUAAUCGCUACUGUGGUAGCUAGGAAUCUUCUCACUCCAAGGGAUAACAAGAUCCUUUCAGAACGGUCUGAAGAGUCGGCCGUUCAAGACUCCUUGGCUCUCAGUGUUCAGUGUGCUGGCUCUGUGUCCAAUAUGGGCCAACGCCUACUUGCUCAAACUCGCCAAGUUGAAUCAUUGAUGGCGGAGGUGGCAAGUCUUAAACAAGAUAUCAGAGGGCUCAAGCACGAGAAUAGGGUGUUACACGUGCUUGCAAAUAAUUACUCUACGAGCAUGAAAAGAAAGCUCGUCCAACUGCAGGAAUCCGAAAGUCGGAUUCAAAAUGAUCACCAGAGGUUCGUUGCUAGAUUCCGAAAGCAACUGAUGCCUUCCCCUUCUGGUGUUUUGCUAAGUACUGGGGUGCCACAUGAUCAAUCUCCAGUGCCUCCCCCUUCUGGGGUACUUCCGAGUACUGAGGCUUCACAUGAGCAACCUUUGUGAAGGCUCCAUCCUGUUUGUUUGUUUUAACUCAUGUGUAUGUCAUAUAUUGUAUUUCUUGAGUAUAUCUGUAAUUUCUUGGAGAUUAAUAAAUAAACUUUAAUUUCAAUGUAUUGUGCCAAAUACAAUAAAGCAUAUACUUCACUAAGAUGCGGUACUUCUGGACCAAAUAUUAAUUUAUCUUUACCUUCACAAAGAUAAAUGAUUAUUCUUAGUGUCUUCAUCAUAUGAGUAUUCAACUCAUAAUCUUCAAUCCAUAUGGUUCUUUUAAUAUCAUAAAUAUCAUGGAUAAGAUUCGUGUUGGUAGAUUGUUCGAUCUGCAGCUCGAGACAAUAAUUCUUUCAACACUUUAUAAUUUUUCUAGACUCUUCAGGAGUCCCAAUUUAAUAUUAUCAACUCUUCAAGAGUUAUAAUUUAAUGUCAUUGACUCUUGCAAGAGAUUUUAGUAUGUUGCAACAAUAUCAUAAUGAUAGUACUCACUAAGGCAAUUUAUAUCAUCCAUUGGUAUUGAGUACAUAUUUUAUGUUUUACCCUUCAGAGGCUUACUUCAAGCAAUUUGAAUCCUUCAAGGGUUUUCUACACUUCAUGACACAUUUUCCUUUGGAAUUUAUACAGAGCAAUUUGCUCCCAUGUAUACUUGAGGGAUUUACUUAUGGAGAUAUAAUGUGGGUGACUCACAACCCUUCGUAUAUAAUUCUCCAUUUAUAUGAACUUGUUUACAAGAGUAUAAUUUCAGGUUUCAAUUAGUAACCUUAUGUCAUAUCAUGUGAGUGUAUUACACUGUAUUACAAAUGCCCAUAUGUAACCUCCUUGAUUCAACAUCUUUUGGCUAUUUGUAUUGUAUUCAAAUAUAUAUAUAGGUUCAUUUGCCCACGUUCUUACAAAAUUGUAAUGGAAUUGCCUUUCUCCAUUUUGGCCAAUAAUUUUUCUUUUGUCGACGAACAAAAGAACGUGACUCAAUAUUAACACAGCUCAUUGAUGAAUUUAGUAGUUACUUGUAAAAACCAAAAUUACCAUUGGUUAUCAUCAAUCCGUGAUCCCAUAUUCUCAUGUGCAUGCGCAUGCAUAAAAGCUUUUCAUUUCUUUGGAUAUCCAUUGCCUCUUCAAGGGCAUGACGCUAUCUCUUCCAGGAUAGUCAUAAUUUAGAGAAUGUGGAUCAUAACCUCCUCUUGAGCGUUAUAGAGCUUGGAUUUUAAUCUCCACUUCCGGGAGUUGAGUCAUUGGAACCUAUAUAUCUAUUAUGCUCCAUGUAUGAGACAUCAACAUUCCCAUGUCUGUGGAUUGUCCUAUCUGGGACGUGUAUCCAUGCGGCGACUGUCAUGCUUCUGGCAUGCAACAGUUAUGCUUCGGGAAUGCAAUAGUUCAGUAGUACCAUAUUAUUCUUCUUUCGAAUAACUAAACCUUUUGAGUCUAAAAAUCUGCCACGCUUCAGGCGUGCAACAGAUAAAUCAUUUACUGUCUCAUUAUUUUAUCCAACAGAGACAUCAAUUCUUGUAGGCACAUUUGCAGUAAGUAUAUAUGAUUUCAUCACUUUCGUUGCAUCAUUCAAUUAUUCAUAUUUCAUUUUCUCAUUGAUUGCUUCGUGAAUCAAAAUAAGACAAAUUAUCUUCGUUCUUCUGGAACGGUCUUUUCUCAUCAUUCUUUUGGAAUGAUAUUUUCUCAUCGUUCUUCUGGAACGACGUUAUUUUCUCCCCUAAUGGCGGGAAAACUGUCUUAUCAAAAUCAUAGUCCGCAAAUCAUGCGGUAGACAUAUCCCCAGUCAAGGGUUCCAAAUAUUGAAUGAUAGAUGGUGUUCAACAUCAAUGCCUAAUCUGCAAUGAUGCCUCAUUUCAGUAUGUUGUGGCAGUCUUACAGGCACAUAGACAACACAACAAAAAACUCAUAAAUGUAUAAUGUUUGGUUGGUUCCCAAACCCGAGUUGUACUGAGAAGUAUUGAUGGUUGAUAACAUAUCUCAACCGAAUUAAUAAUGCAUCAUGUAAAGUUUACAUGUCCCCAUGUAGAAAACUGGCAAUUUCGUUUUCAUGAGCAGAGCGUUGGUAAUCAAUUUCACCCACUUAAUAAAUGCUUCUGCUAAACCAUUUUGAGUAUGGACAUGAGGAACUUCUGGUCCUUGUUUAAUAGUCUGUGAACUGAGACUCUUAUGUCCUUUAUUAUGGUUAAGUUGAGGCACUGCGGCACUUUAAACUUACGGUACUCAUCAAGGAAUUUCAUGUCCUGAUCUUCAUGAUCAAAGGACUUCAUGCCUGAUCUUUUUGUUUAAUGGAACUUCAGGUCCAAUCAUUUGUAUAUGAUGAGGAUCAAGAAACUGCAGGUUCUGAUCUGAUCAAUGAACUUUAGGUCUUAUAUAUACUCAUUGUAACAAAAGAUAAGUACAAUAAAUAAAUUAAAGCAAUAGGCGGUAAUUCCAGCCAUAGUAAAUGAAUUGAACAAUAAAUAAAUUAAAGCUUAUGACAAGGGCUUUAAUUCAGCACCAUUCACAUAAAUCAAAACUUAAAGCAGUAGGCGGUAAAACCGUCCAUGAUAAAUAAAUUGCUUUAAAGUAAAUAGAACUUGUGACAUGGGCUUUAAACCAACACCAUGCACAUAAAUAAUAUAUACAUAUUUUCUUCUUUCUUUUCAGAUGGUGUAACACCAUCGAAAAUCCUUUACCUUUAUUAUUAUUUUUCUUAUUCAUUCACAUGCUACAACAUUCCAAAAACUUUUGGUUUUAUUUCUUUUAUUUUACAUGGUGCAACGCACCUUUCUAAAUCAUUGGCCACAUUUCCCCUUUUCUUUGUCUAUCUCUACUAGUCUCGAAACCCAGUACCAGCUGGGUUGUUGUGGGGGUUACACAAAACCAAUUCAAUCCAAAAAGGCUACCAGAGACUGGCGUUGUUCUUGCAUGGCCCAAAGAACAUGGCAUCGCAAAGCAAGAACCUCUCCAUAGAGACAUAGAUGACAGUGAGGUUGACGAAGGCACAAGAGAGGAAGGCCUGUGUGAAGUCAGUCAUGCCAUCACCAUCUCAGACAACUGAGGAUUCAUGGAGGUCCUCGAGAUCCAUUGAGAACGACACGAUCUGGGUUUCCAAGUCUAAUGAGAUUCUUCUGGAUCUCUGGAAACCAGUUGUCAGGUACGAGUUUUCUUAUCUCGUGACGACUUCAGGUCGUUGUAAAUUUCAAUUCGCACCGGAAUUCGGUGGGGCGCUUCUGGCGCGGUGGGAGAAACGAAAAAUGGACAUACCUUUGCUUGUUUUGCUGUACUUUUGUUUGUCUAUAAGAUCUCUCCAUCUUUCUUGUCCACGAGAGAAAAAAUAGAUUGCAGAUCUAGCAGGGAUAAGGAUUAGCACAUCAAUAGUUAGAGUGAUAAAAGAAAAGUGAUAAAAGAAAGGUUGAUGUAAUUUUGACAAGAUGAUCUUCCCUGUUUAACAUGUCUGGCUUGCCGUCUCUACUCUGUGAGAUUUUAGCUGACCGAGGUGAGAGGUAGAUAAUGCUUUACCAGAUUUAUGAUGUUGUGCUUUCCACUGACAUGAGAGCUUUUCGUGCUGAUAACGUGUUGUGAAAUCGACUGUGGGUGCAGUGGAAUAAAUGAAACAAGACACAAAAUUUACGAGGUUCCUCUACAGUCAGUGUGACUGGAGUACGUCCUCGGGGCAGCAGUGGUGCUUUCAUUAUAAUUUGAAAUAAUAAGAGUACAAAGAUAACUCUCUUUAUAUCUCCCCCUCAUCUUCCUCUUCUUCCUCUCUUCCUCUUCUUUCCUCUCUCUCUCUCUCUUCCUUUCUUCCUUUUCCUUCUUUUCUCUCGUGAACCCUUAAUCACUUCAUCUCCUCUUCUUCCUUUAUAUAAACAAAAGAAAGCACUAUUCACUUUACAAAUUUUCCACAAAUGAAUAAUGAAAAUACUGUGCAUAAAUAGUAACAAACUAUUCAUGUGGACCAUCCACAUAAUAUUUACAACAAAUAGAGACUUUUUAUGGCAUAUAUAUAAAAUAAGACUUUCUAACUUGUUCAAGAUUAUAGUCACAAGAUCGAAUAUACAUUGAUGGGUGCGCAUUUUCCUUCGUCAUCUUUUAUGUGCUACUAAUUUGUGCGAUUGUCAACUUUCAUAAAUUACAAUGGCUACAGGUAAAAUGUCACUCUAGUUUUGAUAAAUAGUGAAGGCAUAUGGCAAAAAUAGUGAAGGCAUAUGGCAAAUGUCUACAAUUUGAUAUCAGAGCCAAUUCCUAGUCGAGAGUAUGCUGACGAGGACGUCGGGCCCCUAAGGGGGGUGGAUUGUAACAUCCCACAUCGCCCAGGGGAGUGGAUCAUGUAAGCCUUAUAUGUAUAUUCCCAUCUCUACGUAGCACGAGGUCUGUUGGGAGCUCACUGGCUUCGGGUUCCAUCAGAACUCCAAAGUUAAGCGAGUUCGCAUGAGAGCAAUCCUAUGAUGGGUGACCCACUGGGAAGUUCUCGUGUGAGUUCCUAGAAACAAAACCGUGAGGGCGUGGUCGGGGCCCAAAACGGACAAUAUCGUGCUAUGGCGGGGCCUAGGAUGUGGUAGGGGCUCGGGUCGGGAUGUGAUAAUUUGAACCCGAAGCCAGUGAGCUCCCAAAAGGCCUGGUGCUAGGUAGAGAUGAGAAUAUACAUAUAAAGCUUACAAGAUCCAUUCCCCUGGGCGAUGUGGGAUAUUACGAUCUACCCCCUUAGGUGCCCGACGUCUUUAUUGGCACACAUUCGGCCAGGGAUUGGCUCUAAUACCAAAUUGUCACUUUCCGGCCCGAGUCCCCACCACAUCCCAGGCUCGACUCCACCGUAGCAUGAUAUUGUCCACUUUGGGCCCUGACCACACCCUCGCGGUUUUGUUUCUGGGAACUCAUACGAGAACUUUACAGUGGGUCACCCAUCAUGGGAUUGCUCUCGCGCGAACUCGCUUAACUUUGAAGUUCCGAUGAAACCCGAAACUAGUGAGCUCCUAAAGGCCUCGUGCUAGGUACAGAUGGGAAUAUACAUAUAAGGCUUACAUGAUCCACUCCCCUGGGCGAUGUGAGAUGUUACAAUUAAUGUUCAGUAAAAUAUUUUUUGAAAAUAACAAUUGCAUUUUAGACAAAAAAAAAAUGUAACGAUUUUUAGACGGUUUUGAAAAUUUGUAAAAAAAAACGACAUCGAUAUUUUUACACAAAGGGGAUGAGGAGUUUGGCUAAGCCACACAAAGGGUAGCCUAAUUUGAUAUCAAAUUUGCCAUCCACAAGAUUCAAACCUAAGACCUCCCACUUCCAAGUAGAGAGGAAUACUACCAGACCGUAGUACUGAGUGGCAAAAAAUCAUCAUUAAAUCUACUUUUUUCACCUUGGCCUUUCCAUGAUGUUUCAAAACUAAUGUAAGGCUUUACGUUAAUAUUCUUGAGUACAAGCCCCAAUUUAUGCAAUGUUUCGGGCCUUACUUGACACGCCCCAACCCCGAUAUCCUCACAUACCAGGGUAGGCACGUACUGGCCGACACCCAAGGGUGACGAAGCCAUUUUAAACAUGCAUACAAAUAAAGAAUAUGCAAUUAGAACGAAAAAUUCCAUUACAAGAACAUGUUCAGAGCAUAUAACUACUAAGAAUACUAUGGAAGAAUUACUAAGAAAAGAUACGAACAAGGAAAUGAUACUUAUACUGAGAAGACUCGAGGAUACCUAUGCCAAAAUACCAUAACGCCGAGAUCAUGUGCCUCGAUCCUAACUCCUGAAGGGGUGCAAAAUAGAAAAGGUGAGUGGACCAAAGUUUAUAAUAAUAAUACUAAUAGUAGGAAAACAUUUUAUUUCUGAACAUAAUAACCCCCUGUUUUGAAAACACAUAUAAUACUACAUAGAGGUUUUAUAAAAACCCUAGCAUGCCAUGUAAAACAUUCGUAAAACAUGUAUGUAAAACUAGUGUUGAAAAUUGUACUAACGCCCAAAGGCAAAUCUAUAAAUGUCAUUAGUGAGGUACUCAACUAGGUGUAUCAUAGUUGUCCAAAGGCAGUACCUGUCCAUCACCCGAAGGUGAAGCUGAAUAAAAUAGCGUACAUCCACACUGACACUACUAAUGAUGCUGUCCGACAUUACUUUCGACAGUGAAGCUAGGGGUAUAUAAUAUAUCAUAUCUCACUCCUCUAUCCUCUGUGUCCUACGACCAAAGACAUCUAUACCUGUGGUGUGCGGAUGUGCCAUAUGAUAACCUACUAGCUAGUACCAAAAACUUAUCUCCAAAACUCGUAUCAAAAUAUGGAGCUCGCUAGGUCAAACCUCAUCUCAUAAAUCCAAGAUAAAUCGUAUUCAUGAAAUCCAUAAAAUAAUUCAUGUUUGUAAAACCGUAAUAUAAAUCAUAUUCAAAAAUCAUAGAAAUCCAUAUAUACGAAUCCAAUAAUUCAAUACCUUUAAUGAAAUGUAAUUUCGAUAAAUCAAACUAUUUCGUAAACCAUAAUUAUAAAAGUCUAUAAAGCAUAUUAUAAAUCAUAUUCAAAUCAUGAAAUAUGGAAUGCAUGCUAGGCUAAUACUUUAUAAAAACAAGUAAGUUAAGAAGGGGUCCACUCACUGAUUUUAUUGCCCAAGAACUGCUCGAACUAGCUAGGAUCACGUCGCUUCCCGCCAACGCACCUAAACACAAUUAGGGACCAUUUAGUUAAACUCUACUAACAUGUUAGAAUUUAAAACGGACGGCGAAUUCGGAUCCGGGGCGUAAAAAAACCUAACGAGGGACCUCGGGUUUUCCCCCACGCAUUGUCGUACGAGCGGCCAUAAGGUUACGUUCCUGAAGGCCACGCAGAGCCACACGUGGCGGCAGACCACCUCGACUCGCUGAAAAAUUUAACAAUUCUAAAAAUUCCCAAAUUUUACAGGAAUGAAGAUCUCAAUGAAAGGAACAACUUUCAUACUUAGGUCGAGGUCCAAUUCGACUGGGAAACACCUCAAAUUGCCCUCGAUCCCAGCAGAACCCUAGAAAUGGGUGCUCUCCAAUUCGUCCUCAAAUUGAACCCAACGCCCCCAAACUUGUGUGGGCUUUGUUCCUGGGUUCAAGAUGAGUGGUUUGAUGGUAGUGGUGGUCGACGUAGCUUUCAUGAUCGGCAAAUCUCUACCGUGGCACCCCCGGAACCCACGGGUUUCGUUCUGCACGAAUUCAAGGUUAAACCUAGUGAAAUUUGGUUGGAAAUGGAGAAGGAGAAGAUGAUGGUUAGUUUGCAGGUGGUGGCGAGGUUUGGAUCGCCCGAAAACCAGUGGAAACAGGUCAGAAAGGUCACGCUAUAGGUCGGGUUAGCGGGGAGGAACCGACUCAAGGGUGAUCCAGUACUCCUCCGCUCUCUCAUUUCUCCUCAUUUCUCUCCUUUCUCAUUGGUCACUUUUUCUCUUUCUCUUCUUUCUCAUUGGGCAUCCACCCUCAUUUCUGUCAUUUCUCCUCCAUCCAUCUCUCUCCCUUCUAUUCAUUCUUUUCCAUCAUAGCCACAUACAUGGUACAAACUGAUGCUCCAACAAAAUCUAGAGCCUUUCAGAUUUAUUGUCAAUUGACCAUUUUGCCAUCGACUUCGUUCGUUAAUAACUCUUUCAUUAUAACUCCAAUUUACGUUCCGUUUACGCCCACGCAUUCCUAGUGACAAGUGCUACAAGUAUACACCAAGAAAAGGGAUCUCAUGUGACACAACAAAGCGGUCAACAAAAGUCAACGUAUUUGCCUCAAAGGGUAUUUUCAUAAUUUCACAUUUUAAAAUUAUAAAAACCGUAAUAAUUGGGAACGGGUCGUUACAUUCCUACAACAACAAAACACAACAACAACCAAGCGUUAUGCUAUUAAGUGGGGUCAACUGUACUCCACUACGAUGGAGUUAACACCAAAUCUUUCGUUAGCUACAAAUACUUCAUAUCAUUUCCUAUAGUCUAUUUCCAAGUCUUCCUAACUUUUCCUCCACCCCUUAUGCCCUAAGCCUCCCUCUCAUAGUUGCCUUUUCUACCAUAGCUUUUUUAGAUAUUUGUUUCAUGUACCCAAACCAUCUUAACUGAUUUUCUUUCAUCUUAUCUUCAAUGGAGACAAGUCAUAUUUUGCCUCAGAUGUCCUCGUUGUUAAUCUAAUCAUUUUGACACCCUGACCGCAAUAACACAAGUUACGAGGCCGAGAUAUCCUGGCUGUCAGACCAUAUGGCCCCAUUUAGGAAUGACUUCACAAGCCAACUUAAUAACAAAGCCAUAGUAAGACAAUUACGAUGUGAGUGAAUUUGAAUCAAAACAUUCAUUAAUAAUAAAUCAAAAGGUGCUACAAAGUUUCCUAAUCAACCUCCCCACUUGGGAAUAUAUAUUCAAGGUUUAGAUCCCAUUAUUAUCACAUCACAUCAGAGCAGCUAGAAGUUUCAUACAACAAUAAACACAUAAAAGUGUAGUGCUAUGCAUAAUCAAGAGUGCGAUCGUGCAAAUAUUACUGACAAAAUAAAUAUGCAGUAGAGGAAUCAUCACCAAAAUCCAAAGGAUGAAACCUCACUACCAAGCCCACUUGCCACCACUGAGGUUCUCCUGAUUCUCGCUAUGUCCUGAGGGAUUGAUAAAUAAAGUAUGAGUGGAUCAAGUUUUAUCUCGUCAAAAAUCAAUUGAAUAAUCUCCAUUUUGAAAUCAUCUAUUGUAGAAUUAUCAAAGAGACGAGCUUAGGGCCCACAUCCAACAAUAUCGAUAUAGCCCCAACUUGGUAAUUAUUGCCCACACAAUCUGUCAGGUGUGAAGUUUUAUCACAAAAGGCCUUGGUGUUAGAUGAAGUGGGGACAUGCUAUUUAAACUCUUAUGUACUUAGAGAUAUGGCUGAUGUGGGAUAUUUCAACACCUAUAUAUAUAUAUAUAUAUAUAUAUAUAUAUAUAUAUAUAUAUAUAUUAAAAACUACCUGCAUAAUAAUAUUACCAUAAUAGUGGUCACAAUCAAUUCAUCUCGCACGUCAUAUCAAAGAAAGUAAGUCAUUCAUAAAAUCUAAGUAAUAUAAUAUGAUUUUAUCAAUAUCGUAGAUGGUUCUUAUAAUCAUGUAUACGCACGUUGGUGCGACUUCAAUUCCAAUGAUCUCUCUCUUUUAACAACUAACUAUAUUUAUUUCAUAAACAAUAUCAUUUGUAUAUAUAUAAAAAAAUGAUUUGAUCAUAUUAAUUCUGCAUAGUCCCCUCAAGUUGGAUAGUAAAUGUCAUAAAUCAAGUUUUUUAGUCAAAAUGGAGUCCUUGAGAUUUGCCUACUUCGUCACCUUGGUCUCUGAGAUUCAAAAUCAAUAGAGUGGUCUAUGAGAUAGUCCACCAACAAUCAUUUUGGUCAUUUGGUGAAAAAUUGAGUUAAAUAAGAAUUAAAAUGACAAAUUUACCCUCAAUGUAAUACACAAUAGGCCAUCAUGAUUUGACAAAAGUUGAGGGUAUUUUUGUCAUUUUAUCCUUAUUUGAGAUUUUUUACGGAAUGACGAAAAUGAUUGAUUGCGGACAAACUCAGGGAUCAAUUCUAUCGAUUUCAAAUCUCAAGGACAAAAGUGAGGAGUUAUGCAAACCUCAAUAACCAUUUCCACUAAAAAAAUUAUUAUUCCUAAUUUCCUAAACCCCUUGGGAAGAUAUCUACCAAUUGUACUCGAGAAGAAAUGCAGGAAUGAGGAAUAUAUAAAGACAAGCGAUACUUGCUCUUUGUUGCAAAAAACGACACUUAAAGGUCAAUUUUCCCAAGUUUUUCACCGCUGUUUUUACCGUUCGCUGCAAAAAAAAAAAAGACUAUCCCCUUGCGAGCUCCGUCGUCAAUUCCCCCCGCGAACUCUGAGUCCCUCUGAAAUAAUGAUUAACAUAAAUUUGAAUUUCUCAAACUCUGUGUUUGGUUGUAUCUAACGAUCCCUAAUUCCAAAUUUAUGGCUUAGAUACAUAAAAAAGAUAUCUCGGGUACUUCAUUGCUAUCCAUUAAGCUCCCCAGUUUCAAGCCAAGCAAAAAAAUCUAAUUGAGUUGAGUUUUGAACAUGUAGAGUAGUUAGACAAUUGAAUUACCAAUCUUUAUUAUUAUUGCAACAAACACACGGAUUACACUAAAAGCUAGUUAAUCAUACACUUGCAGAUGACUUAUCCAAACACAAAGAUAAGACAUGAGUUUAUUAUUAUUGCUAUAAACACACGGAUUACAGCGAAAUGCAAAAACUAAAAACAAGGAAAAAAGUAGUGAUGAAAACCAAUGCUACUUUCGCGGGGAACACGAUUGCAUUCGCACAUGCAACAAGCCUUUUAAACCCAUAGGUGACCCAAAUGGGACGAGUGAAGUCUCGUGAGGGUUUCCAGAGACGUUACCCACAAACAUCAUGCAUACUGA